rnacentral:rRNA from 1 species
UACGUAGGGUGCGAGCGUUGUCCGGAAUUACUGGGCGUAAAGAGCUCGUAGGUGGUUUGUCGCGUUGUUCGUGAAAACCGGGGGCUUAACCCUCGGCGUGCGGGCGAUACGGGCAGACUGGAGUACUGCAGGGGAGACUGGAAUUCCUGGUGUAGCGGUGAAAUGCGCAGAUAUCAGGAGGAACACCGGUGGCGAAGGCGGGUCUCUGGGCCGAUACUGACGCUGAGGAGCGAAAGCGUGGGGAGCGAACAGG